AUUGAACGCUGGCGGCAGGCCUAACACAUGCAAGUCGAGCGGAUGAUUGGAGCUUGCUCCAUGAUUCAGCGGCGGACGGGUGAGUAAUGCCUAGGAAUCUGCCUGGUAGUGGGGGACAACGUUUCGAAAGGAACGCUAAUACCGCAUACGUCCUACGGGAGAAAGCAGGGGACCUUCGGGCCUUGCGCUAUCAGAUGAGCCUCGGUCGGAUUAGCUAGUAGGUGAGGUAAUGGCUCACCUAGGCGACGAUCCGUAACUGGUCUGAGAGGAUGGUCAGUCACACUGGAACUGCGACACGGUCCAGACUCCGACGGGAGGCAGCAGUGGGGAAUAUUGGACAAUGGGCGAAAGCCUGAUCCAGCCAUGCCGCGUGUGUGAAGAAGGUCUUCGGAUUGUAAAGCACUUUAAGUUGGGAGGAAGGGCAGUAAGUUAAUACCUUGCUGUUUUGACGUUACCAACAGAAUAAGCACCGGCUAACUUCGUGCCAGCAGCCGCAGUAAUAC
rnacentral:rRNA from 1 species